ensembl:snRNA U6 U6 spliceosomal RNA
UUGCUUGCUUGGGCACCACAUCUACUGAAAUUGGAACAAUACAGAAAAGAUUAGCAUGGCUCCUGUGCUAGGAUGAUAUGCAAAUUCAUAAAGCAUUGCACACUUUU